CAACCUGCCCUGUACCGGGGGAUAACACUUAGAAAUAGGUGCUAAUACCGCAUAAUAGGGAAUACCGCAUGGUAAUCCUUUGAAAACUCCGGUGGUACAGGAUGGGCCCGCGUCUGAUUAGCCAGUUGGCGGGGUAACGGCCCACCAAAGCGACGAUCAGCAGCCGGCCUGAGAGGGUGGACGGCCACACUGGGACUGAGACACGGCCCAGACUCCUACGGGAGGCAGCAGUGGGGAAUAUUGCACAAUGGGGGGAACCCUGAUGCAGCGACGCCGCGUGAGUGAAGAAGUAUUUCGGUAUGUAAAGCUCUGUCAGCAGGGAAGAAGAAAGACGGUACCUGACCAAGAAGCCCCGGCUAACUACGUGCCAGCAGCCGCGGUAAUACGUAGGGGGCAAGCGUUAUCCGGAUUUACUGGGUGUAAAGGGAGCGUAAACGGCAGGGCAAGUCUGGAGUGAAAGGCAGGGGCCCAACCCCUGGACUGCUCUGGAAACUGUCCGGCUGGAGU
rnacentral:rRNA from 1 species